AACGAACGCUGGCGGCAUGCCUAACACAUGCAAGUCGAACGAUGCCUUCGGGCGUAGUGGCGCACGGGUGCGUAACGCGUGGGAAUCUGCCUUUCGGUUCGGAAUAACUCAGGGAAACUUGAGCUAAUACCGGAUAACGUCCCAAGACCAAAGAUUUAUCACCGAAAGAUGAGCCCGCGUAGGAUUAGCUAGUUGGUGAGGUAAAGGCUCACCAAGGCGACGAUCCUUAGCUGGUCUGAGAGGAUGAGCAGCCACACUGGGACUGAGACACGGCCCAGACUCCUACGGGAGGCAGCAGUGGGGGAUAUUGGAAAAUGGGCGAAAGCCUGAUCCAGCAAUGCCGGGUGAGUGAUGAAGGCCUUAGGGUUGUAAAGCUCUUUUACCCGGGAAGAUAAUGACGGUACCGGGAGAAUAAGCCCCGGCUAACUCCGUG
rnacentral:rRNA from 1 species